UACGUAGGGCGCAAGCGUUGUCCGGAAUUAUUGGGCGUAAAGAGCUCGUAGGCGGCUUGUCACGUCGGGUGUGAAAGCUCGGGGCUUAACCCCGGGUCUGCAUUCGAUACGGGCUGGCUGGAGUGUGGUAGGGGAGAUCGGAAUUCCUGGUGUAGCGGUGAAAUGCGUAGAUAUCUGGAGGAACACCGGUGGCGAAGGCGGCAUUCUGGACCAUAACUGACACUGAGAGACGAAAGCCAGGGGAGCAAACGGG
rnacentral:rRNA from 1 species